rnacentral:lncRNA from 1 species
UCCCCCUUCCCUUCUCUUCCUUCCCCUCCUUUUCCUUCUUCCUCCUCUUCCCCUCCCCUUCCCCUCCUUUCCCUUCUUUCUCCCCCUCCCAUUCCUCCUUUCUUCCCCCACCCUGCCUUCUCUUCCUUUCCCUUCUGUCCCCGUUAAGAUUAAAUGCAUGUCCAGGUUAGUCCAGGUUGUUUCACAAACAGCUGAAGAUGGAAACUGAGAGAUACCGAUGUCUGAUUCUGGGGAAGUCGCCACUCCCAGAGAAAGAACUAUGAGAAAGACUGCACUGAACAUGGUGCCUGCUCUCUUGUGUGAAGUGGAGACAGAGUGAAGACAGUUCUCACUGACCUGGCAGGAUGAAGAGGACUUCCCAGACAGAGCUAUUACUAGGUCCUGGUUCACAAUAUUGUGUGGAUAGCAGACACUGACAAAUAAAUGAAAAAGGAGUUGGGCUGGGAGCACAUUCUGGAAAUCUAGAAGAUAACAUCCUUAUCUGAAACUCACACUGACAUUUGCACGAGAGAGACGCUUUGUGGCAGCUGAUGACAAAAGCUCAUUAAGAUGACAAAACCAUGAUUCUCUUUGCACUGCUGAUGUUCCAUGAACAUCAGAGGUUACGUUAGCUAUAGAAGCGUCAUGGAAAUCUCUGAACAGUGCUAAGGACUCCCGGACUCUCUAUCCUACAAAUCACUUGUUGUAACACAGCCAGGUCACCAGUAAAUACUUCCCAUUCCCAUGAUUCAAGGUUCAAGAUUUUCAACACAUUUAAAACCAGGAGCAUUGGUAUCCUUUAAUCUUACAAAUCUUUAAAGACAUUUUAUUCUAAGAAGAGCCAAAGGAAAACCCUCUGCAUUUCAAGAACUUCAUUUAGAUGUUUGAUUUUUUUUUUUUAAAUAUGAAUCACCCUACAAGUCUUGUAAAAUACUUGUGUGGAGAGACAACGACCUUUAAGUUUGAAGAAAGGAAUCUUAGAUGUCGCAAAGACCCCACUGAGCCAGUUUUGUUUUAAUUCUCUUUGCAUCAUAGUGUCUUAUUCAAGUCUGGGUUGCAAGAGAGAAGUUGAGUGCAUUUAUGGGUCAUUCUUGUCAGAGACAGAAAAAUACAGACAGCUGCAGAGAAGUGGGACCCAGGAUAACUGCAAUCACAAAUGGACCUCACUGAAAGAAGCGCUUGAACCACCAACCUCUUGUCCAAGCAGAAGAAAUGGAGGCAGACUGCAAAGUAGUUUUUAUGUGGAUGCAUAGCUUCCCUUUCAAAGAAACCACCUGUACCAAUUGACUUUCAAUUUUUCCCAACAUUGCUGCCUGUCCCUCUACAGUCUGGGUCUGGAACAACACCACAAGCUCAGACAAGAUAGAUGCGGUUCUGUUGACCUUACAAGCUGUUGAAAGUAUGGAACAAGGCUUGCAAGACAGUGAAGGAUUUAUACCUUCCUCCUAGUGAUUAAUUUGUUCUCAUGUUCUGGACUUUAAGGCCAGAUUUGAGAGGCAGCAUCAUUGGCUACUGUCCCCAAAACUUGUUCUGUCUCUAUUCCUCCUUCUUGUCCUCAUGAAAACCCUGUCCUCCCUAACAGAAAGUCAUUCAAUGCUAGUGCUUGGGGAAAACAUGGCCAGACUGGGAGGAGCAUGAGAGCUCUGUGGGAAACCCUGAAGGAAUUACAAUAGGGACAGAAUGGAAGGGGUGAGGAAGGGUUAGGGAACUCAAAAUUGGGUGCCACACAGCUACGUGGCCAGUCUGGCAGUUGCAACUAUCCUUUUCCUAGAUCUCAAAGAGGGCAUCCUAGAUUAACAUAAGGUGGACAUAAUACGUUAACUAGUUGCCAUGUCAUCUGUGCAGUGCUUGUAGCUCCGAAGGUGCUUGUGAUAAGAUAAAUCUGUCUGGAAGACUGCCAGCAAACAGCCAUUGCUAGAGAACAUUGGAAAUAGAAAGUGAACCCUACAGCCCAGCCGGCCAUGGAUAAGCUGUGUUUCUUUCCUGUGAUCCCAGCACUGGAUGAGAUGAUGCUAUGACACUUAAGGUAUGAUUUCUAGUAUCACUCCCUCCUGAUAACUGUCACACGGUACAUGUCUGUCAAGAAGAAGAGAGCAAGCUUUUCCUUUCAGUAAGGAAGGAAACAAAUUCUGUUCAUUGGUUUAUCUGCUAAAUGUCCAGAAUCAUCUGACCCCUGGAGGAACCAGACAGAGCAACGGUAUUGUCAUGUCUUCCCCAAAUGCAGAGUAUUUCAAAACAUUUCAGGAAAAGAAAAUAUUAACAGAAACUGCCUAACAAACUCGUGGUGGGAUUUUUAUUUGCUUUUAUAACUAAUGAUAGAUUUUCUUUUAAUUCAGUGUUUGACUUUUUUUUUUUUCUGCAGCUGUAACUUGUGUCCAUUUGUCAAACACCAGAGAACUAUAUCUGCUAAUAUCAUGGUUAUAAAACUGUGUCUAAUAACCUAACCAAAAUGCAUCUUUUUAUUGUGGCAUUAGUGGAAUUUUUUUUGUAGGUUUAGUAAACUAUUCCUAUCCUUUUUUUUUUUUUUUUUAGCUUUGUUUUUGUUUCCCCUUAAGGUUUGAUUUUGGAGAGUUGUCCAUGUCACAUAGCAAAUAAAUUGACCAUGAGACUGUCUGGUGACUUUAGAACAUUGUUUUAUGUUACAUUUCCUUAGCCUAUGGGACAUUUGUUUGCUAUACAUGUUUUAAAAGUAUAUAGUAGCUUGCAUGAAUUCUAAUCAGGAAGACAUAUUUAAAAUUCUUUAUCAGACAAUUUGUCUUUUGUAUAUACUAGGGCUGCAGAUUCUUGUGAGUUACUUUCGUAUCUAGCUACUCUCCUAAAAGUGGGUCAGCUGUAGGAGUGCCCUGGUGGAAAUUUUAGGGUCAUUUAUGCAUAGUAUUUUAUCACCUGCAAGUAAAGAUACUUUGACUUAUUCCUUUCUAAACUGUACCUUGAUCUCUUUUGAUUUUCUUAUUGCUCUAGCUAAUACUUCAAGUACAAUAUUGAAUAGGUAUGGAGAGAGUGAACAACCUUGUCUUGUUCCUGAUUUUAGUGGAAAAGUUUCUGUACAUUUGAGUUAAUGUUGGCUAUGGGCUUGCUUUAAAUUACCUUUACUAUGUCUAGUUAUGUUUCAUGUAUCCCUAGUCUCUCCAGGGCUUUUAUCAUGAAAGGCUGUUAGAUUUUUGUCCAAGACCUUUUCUGCAACUAAUGAGAUGAUUAUGCAGUUUUCUUUCCAUUUAUUUAUACAGUGGAUUGCAUUUGCUGAUAUUCGUCUCUUGAACCAUCCUUGCAUCUCUGGGACAGUCUACUGGAUCAUGAGAGAUAAUCUUUUUGAUGUAUUCUUGGCUUCAGUUUGCAAGUAUUUUAUUGAGUAUUUUUUACACCUAUGUUCAUUAUAGAAAUUGGUCCAUAGAGAGGACAGGGUUUUCAUGAGGACAAGAAGCAGGAAUGGAGACAGAACAAAUUUGGGGGCCAGUGGCCAGUGAUGCUAUCUCUCAAAUCUGUCCUUAAGGUCCAGAUCAUAAGCCCAAGUUGCUAUGAGUGUAAAUCCUUCAUUGUUGCACAAGCAAAGCUUUUUUUCUUUUUUCUUGACAGAAUCUUUAUGUAGUUUGGGUGUCAGGGUAACUGUGUGUUCUCAUUUCUGAAAAUUUAUAUCAUGUUCAGAAAGUCUUCAUGUUCCAAUUACUUAUUUUACUGUUUGUACAGUUUUUUUGAAGAUUUACAUUUAUAAAAUAUAUCUGGAAUAAAGUUCAGUUUUCAACAU